UUGUGUUCCCCGUAACGUCCCCCGGACCCAGCCGCUCUGCUGGGCUGUCGCAGAAUCUACACGUUCAAUUCAGGGCGUUUAGCAGACGCCUUUAUCCAAAGCGACUUGCAUAUAUUUCCCGCUGUCAGUACAGUUGGGAUGUUCGUGGAACAAACUGCCAAACACUAACAAUUGGUAGGCUAACCCAUUCUCUGUAAACAAGGGUAAGAUACUACACUAUGCUAAGGGAUACUUUUAACCUCUUACAACAUACAUUAUGUGAGUAAGACAGUGUUUUUAGGAGAGUAGGGGCGGUAAGGGGAGAGGCUGUUGAGUCCAGGUGAACUCUGAACAACUGAGUCUUGAGUCUCUUGUUCAGGGUCCAGGUGAACUCUGAACAACUGAGUCUUGAGUCUCUUGUUCAGGGUCCAGGUGAACUGAACAACUGAGUCUUGAGUCUCUUGUUCAGGGUCCAGGUGAACUGAACAACUGAGUCUUGAGUCUCUUGUUCAGGGUCCAGGUGAACUGAACAACUGAGUCUUGAGUCUCUUGUUCAGGCUGGAUCUUCUAGGAGGAGACGACUCGGACCCCAGCCCAGACACUCGACCCUUAAAGGGGCGGUGGUGCCCGGUUUCCUUUCUCGUUGUGGAUAUAUCCUACUGUAGAGGAACUCAUUUUGCGCAGGUGGAAUAAGCCAUUAGAAGGUGUUAUUUGUCUAUUUCUACAGUUGACAUUCUUUGCGGUGUUGAUAUGAAACAUGUGGGAUUUGAUUCACCGUCCCCUCUUGUCAUUUUGCUAUUGGAAGUUUUUCUAUGUAAUAAAAUAGUUGGAAUUAAAACAUUUUAACAGAAUGUAAAGACUACCAUUACAUAAAUGUGUUGAUCCAAAUGCAGGAAAAUCUCCUCUAUUUAUAGCACAGACUGUUAAAUAUCAGGACUGUACCGCACAGAUUGGGACACUUUGCCACCUUAAAAAAAAAGGCUUAACUAAAACACUGGCUCAAUAAUGAGCAUCUUAUAAACCUGAAGGCGCUUUGAAGCUCCAUCCUUAAGGAGGGGCUUAAGAUGCUGUCGAUGUGGACUGGUAUUUGCAUUAAUACUACUUUAUGGAUGAAGGCUAGAACUGUAACGAAACUGGUUGGAUUAGCUGCCACUGUAACAGGGGUCUACCUGA